GAUCUGGCUCAGGAUAAACGCUAGCGGCAGGCCUAACACAUGCAAGUCGAGGGGCAUCGGAUAGAGUACUUCGGUACUCUUGCCGGCGACCGGCGGACGGGUGCGUAACGCGUAUGCAACCUACCUUCAACAGGGGGAUAAUCCGAAGAAAUUUGGUCUAAUACCCCAUAAUAUUCCGACAGGCAUCUGUCGGAGUUGAAAGCUUCGGUGGUUGGAGAUGGGCAUGCGUUGUAUUAGCUAGAUGGUG
rnacentral:rRNA from 1 species